GACGGGACAGAAUUAUUGUCCUGAAAAAUAAUAGUUAGAACACAAACAGAAACAAAUUGCAUCAUUUUUUAUUUUGCCAUCAUCUGACAAACAUGGCAUGUUGGAGACUAUAAACAGUCCUUCACGGCUUCUAUUCAGCCAGAUACUCAGAUCUGCGGAGUGCAUGUCUUCACAAAUUUUCCGAUAAACAAUCAUUUUGAUGUUUUGACACCAUUUUCAAGGAAUGUAAUGGUAAUGACAUAAUAAUGCAGUCAAUAACUAGAAUGUGUGCAUUUCCUAUGAAAAUGCAAGUGUGAAUGCCGAAUGCUCAAUGCUGAAUGCUUUUGGUGAAAAUGGCAAAAGCGUUUUAAGCCAACUGCUGAAGACUUGCAGAAAGGUAAGAAAUAGUCCAUGAAGCGUGAAAAACCCAGGGAAAAGCCAAAAUUAGCUAAAAAGCUAAAACUAGCUAAAAUACUAAGGAUAGCAUCUAAGAUAACACUAGUAUGCUGGGUUACAGUAAUACUGUAUAUUCAAUGUAAAAAAAACAAAACAAACUCAUGUAAAACCCAAAAUUUGAAAAGGACAGAAACAUUCUCCUAUUGCUUCUGAUAAAAAUGGUGGAUGAAUUAAAUCCAUACCUUUUAUGGUUCCUCAGAUAUCAACAUUUGUUUGGAGGCAUCAUUUUGCAUUGUUUU